rnacentral:rRNA from 1 species
GAUGAACGCUGGCGGCGUGCCUAAUACAUGCCAGUCGAGCGAACGGACGAGAAGCUUGCUUCUCUGAUGUUAGCGGCGGACGGGUGAGUAACACGUGGAUAACCUACCUAUAAGACUGGGAUAACUUCGGGAAACCGGAGCUAAUACCGGAUAAUAUUUUGAACCGCAUGGUUCAAAAGUGAAAGACGGUCUUGCUGUCACUUAUAGAUGGAUCCGCGCUGCAUUAGCUAGUUGGUAAGGUAACGGCUUACCAAGGCAACGAUGCAUAGCCGACCUGAGAGGGUGAUCAGCCACACUGGAACUGAGACACGGUCCAGACUCCUACGGGAGGCAGCAGUAGGGAAUCUUCCGCAAUGGGCGAAAGCCUGACGGAGCAACGCCGCGUGAGUGAUGAAGGUCUUCGGAUCGUAAAACUCUGUUAUUAGGGAAGAACAUAUGUGUAAGUAACUGUGCACAUCUUGACGGUACCUAAUCAGAAAGCCACGGCUAACUACGUG